AGCCAUAUAUACAUGCUUGCUAGACUUUGAGCCACACAUUUACUAUUUACUGCUUAUGAGCAUUGAGUGUGGUCAAGCUGUGAAGACCCUUAGGAGCUUGUCAUGUGGUUAAAUCAAGAUUCACUUGCACGUUCACUCAAAUAUGCUACUUCUACUCCGGAAGUACCAUCCACAUAUAUCCACCCAUUUCCAUCUCCAGAACCACCCAAAAAUAUUCUACUCCUAAUCCGGGAGAGAAUAGCCAAAAAUAUUUCUGUUUUUCCCUUGUGAAAUUAAUGCUCAAGUUAUCUUGUUACUACCACUUGCUAUAUUAUCUCAAGAGAUGAGUGCUCUAAAAAAAAGAGAUACGAGGAAAUAAAAAGGGGCAAGUGCCCGGAACCUCGAAAGAAAAGAAAAAGUGAGACGAGAGGUAAAAACGGACAAGUGUCUGACAAUAGAUUUAGAGGGUACAAGAUACCCACCUGAGAGGAAAGAAAAAGAAAAGGAAGAGCAUCUCAUUCUCCUUAAAAAGUUUCAAAAAGCAAGGAAGGUAUGUAUCCCCUCAAAAGAGCAAAAGUAGAAUUAGACUUUCACCAUUGUUAUCACCAUCAUCACCAUACACCAUUCAUUCGCCACACAUGCACAUCUUGAUUUGGCUUAUUGAUUUGUUUCUUUGAAUCCAUGGUUUGACUAUACAAUAAAUAUCUUGUAAGUAUGUAUACUUUAUCUUCCACCUAUGAGCUCCAGAUAUUAAAGCC
rnacentral:lncRNA from 1 species